UUUACUGACAACUCUGCUAUGUACCAGGAUAUUUGUGCAAUACUGAUGAAAGCACCACAUGGACCCUCCAUUGUGGAGAGUCUAGAGAGUAAUAAAAUUACCAUCAAGCAAAGGCGUGCAAUGGUGCGAAUUACUGUUUCUUAUCUUAUUGAGAAAUAUGGCGAAACGUGAGUAUAAAUAAGUUGUAUUUGCAUGUAUUUUCACCCAAAUCAAGACAGAAUGAGACUAUUUUGAAACAAUGUUUUUCUUUCUUAUUUGGCAAUCAUAAUACAGACCAUCAGCAGAGACCAAAAAGGCAAUGGCCAUGUCUCUAGUAGAGACAUUUCCCUGUCUCCGUGACCCUGAAGGAAAUGGCUUUGAGGCCUGGUUCAGCCAGGGGCGAAAACACAGGCCUUCCACAGGAUUUCUUGAGGAGCGCCUUCGCAACAUAAGAAAGAGGAUGCGGAGAUUAAGAACACAGCCCUCCGUAGUGCCUGUCUGUGAGGAGAGGUUGACUUUCAUUCCUACAUCAACUUUGUCUACUGAGAGAGCAAUUCAGUUAAAAGAAUGGCUAAAAAAACAAUACCAGACCACAGGACCAGGUUGAGCAGUACAUGAAAGCAACUGCUCUUUUUAGGGCUAACUGGAUUCGCCAGAACAGCUCCAAACCAAUAUCUGAGAUUUUAUCAGAGUUCCCUCGUCUAAUGGAUACCCCAGGCAUGAUAUCUCAAGACUUUAGUGUACUUCACCCUGAUGCUGCUGACAAAUUGUGCUCAUCCUGGUUGCCUGACUUUGCUGACAAGAUCCUGGCCUUUGCUAAAAGAGAUGGACGACAAAUGGAUUUACUGAAUUUAGACAACAUGUCUGCAGAUACCAAAGGCAC